rnacentral:lncRNA from 1 species
AAUAUAAUAUGAGAGAGAUAGGGAAAGGGUAAAGAGGUAAAAAAAAUUUUAAGAAAGAAAGAUUAGGACCUGCCCUGGUCGAGCAUUGCUCUCUGGGCUUAGUAGAGUGUGGUUGUCGGAGUAAAGGUCCCUGGUCGAGCAUUGCUCUCGGGGCGCCGGCUUAUUUGGAUAUUUAAGUGACCAGACUGGAGGUAAGGUCCCUGGUCGAGCUUUGCUCUCGGGGCGCCAGUCUUAUUGGAUAAGAGAGCCAAAAGGCUAAGGCUGAGAGUUAAGUGACCGGACUGGAGAUAAGGUCCAUGGUCGAGCUUUGCUCUCUGGGCGCCAGUCCUGUUGGAAUGAGAGGUUUGAGAUUUUAGAGUUGGGAUUAGAGUUCUACUGAAGUACUCCGUCCCGUUGCAUGUGGAAUAAAUUUUGUUUAAGCAUGGCAUGACACGUAUGGUUCGCGUGAUUUAUUAAUUAUUUUAAAAUUAAAUGAAUGUGACAUUGAGAUAUUUGAAACUGUUUUAGAUAUAUGAUUUUAACUCACUCUCGAGACUGACAGUCUCCAUUUAUUUUUUUUCAG